UCUGGUGGCAAUAGCGAAGAGGUCACACCUGUUCCCAUGCCGAACACAGCAGUUAAGCUCUUCAGCGCCGAUGGUAGUUGGGGCAUUGCCCCUGUGAGAGUAGGACGUCGCCAGGC
rnacentral:rRNA from 1 species